rnacentral:rRNA from 1 species
GACGAACGCUGGCGGCGUGCUUAACACAUGCAAGUCGAACGGUAAGGCCCUUCGGGGUACACGAGUGGCGAACGGGUGAGUAACACGUGGGUGAUCUGCCCUGCACUUCGGGAUAAGCCUGGGAAACUGGGUCUAAUACCGGAUAGGACCACUGCCUGCAUGGGUGGUGGUGGAAAGCUUUUGCGGUGUGGGAUGGGGCCGCGGCCGAUCAGGUUGUUGGUGGGGUGAUGGCCUACCAAGGGGACGACGGGUAGCCGGCCUGAGUGGGUGACCGGCCACCCUGGGACUGAGAUACGGCCCAGACGCCUACGGGGGGCAGCGGGGGGGAAUAUUGCACAAUGGGCGCAAGCCUGAUGCAGCGACGCCGCGUGAGGGAUGACGGCCUUCGGGUUGUAAACCUCUUUCAGCACCGACGAAGCGCAAGUGACGGUAGGUGCAGAAGAAGGACCGGCCAACUACGUGCCAGCCGCCGCCGUAA